rnacentral:rRNA from 1 species
GAUGAACGCUGGCGGCGUGCCUAACACAUGCAAGUCGAGCGAACAGACUCGGAUCUUGCUCCUCUGACGUUAGCCGCAGACGGGUGAGUAACACGUGUAUAACCUACCUCUCAUACUGGGAUAACUUCGUAAAACCGGCGCUAAUACCGUAUAAUAUAUUUAACCACGUCGUUCUGUAGUGAAUGACGGUUUUGCUGUCACUUCUCGAUGUAUCCGCGCCGCAUUAGCUAGUUGGUAAGGUAACGACUUACCAAGGCAACGUUGGGUAGCCGAACUGAGAGGGGGAUCGGCGACACUGGAGGUGAGACACGGACAAGACUCCUAAGGGAGGCAGCAGAAGGGAAUCUUAAGCAAUGGGGGAAAGCAUGACGGAGCAACGCCGAGUGAGAGAUGAAGGUGUUGGGAUCGGAAAACUCUGUUAUUAGGGAAGAACAAAUGUGUAAGUAACUAUGGACGUCGUGACGGUACCUAAUCAGAAAGAAACGGCUAACUACGUG